rnacentral:rRNA from 1 species
UAGGGAAUCUUCCGCAAUGGGCGAAAGCCUGACGGAGCAACGCCGCGUGAGUGAUGAAGGUCUUCGGAUCGUAAAACUCUGUUAUUAGGGAAGAACAAAUGUGUAAGUAACUAUGCACGUCUUGACGGUACCUAAUCAGAAAGCCACGGCUAACUACGUGCCAGCAGCCGCGGUAAUACGCAGGUGGCAAGCGUUAUCCGGAAUUAUUGGGCGUAAAGCGCGCGUAGGCGGUUUUUUAAGUCUGAUGUGAAAGCCCACGGCUCAACCGUGGGGGGUCAUUGGAAACUGGAAAACUUGGGUGCAGAAGAGGAAAGUGGAAAUCCAUGUGUAGCGGUGAAAUGCGCAGAGAUAGGGAGGAACACCAGUGGCGAAGGCGACUUUCUGGGCUGUAACUGACGCUGAUGUGCGAAAGCGUGGGGAUCAAACAGG